GUGAAGAGUACGUUGCCUGUGGAGGUCACUCUUGCCAGGCUCUGUCCAGGUAGCAUAGGGGAGCACAGGGCUCUGCCCCUUGGUAUACAGUCCCUUUCUAUGACAUUGAAAGUAGGGGGUGGAGUCAAAAUGGCAGCUAAGCACAU
rnacentral:snoRNA from 1 species